rnacentral:rRNA from 1 species
GGGACGAACGCUGGCGGCGUGCUUAACACAUGCAAGUCGAGCGGUAAGGCUCCUUCGGGAGUACACGAGCGGCGAACGGGUGAGUAACACGUGAGCAAUCUGCCCUUCUCUUCGGAAUAACCAUUGGAAACGAUGGCUAAUGCCGAAUACGACCUCCUUUCGCAUGAUCGGAGGUGGAAAGCUCCGGCGGAGAAGGAUGAGCUCGCGGCCUAUCAGCUAGUGGCGGGGUACGCCACGAAGGCGACGACGGGUAGCCGGCCUGAGAGGGUCGACCGGCCACGACUGGGACUGGAGACCACGGCCCAGACUCCGUACGGGAGGCAGCAGGUGGGGAAUAGUUGGACAAGUGGGACGAAAGCUGAUCAGACAACGCCGCGU